ensembl:misc_RNA Metazoa_SRP Metazoan signal recognition particle RNA
GCCAGGUGUGGUGGUGCACACCUGUAAUCCCAGCUACUCCGGAGGCUGAGGCAGAAGAAUCGCUUGAAUCCAGGAGGCAGAUGUUGCAGUGAGCUGAGAUUGCACCACUGCACUCCAGCCUGGGUGACAGAGCAAGACUCUGUCUCAA